CGAGUGUAUCUAAAGUAGGCCUAGUUAAUUACGAUGAGAUUGUGAUAAUUAACAAGAUUGCGAUGCCAAGCAGACGUUAUGCUCUUCCUGGCUGCGGAAAAACAUCUUUACAUAAGCUGCCGAAGGAUCCCGAUGUCAGAGAAAAAAGGAUUGCGUUCAUUUUUAACGUAGCCUAGUCACGUCAGUGCUGACUUGUUUGUACUGUACGUUUUACCAGCGCCUUUUUGAGAACAAGUCGCAAUACGAAACUGACUUUGCCCAAAAGGAUCAGCAAGGACCCCACAAACUGUCUGACAUACCACGAGCUUCAGGCCACUACUGAAGGUGAAAGGUCACAUUCAGUGAUCCUCAGUCUAUUUGUCUCUGUCCUGACACAUGAUUGACAGCCGUUGAGAUGCUUGAUGACUUGAAAAGAGGGUAGUGUGCUGAAGGCAGGUAGGCACAGAUGAAGAGAGAGUCAAGUGAAACGAGUUAUUUUAUGCAGUAGAGCUUGGAGAAAUCUGCACAUGAAGAGAACAAAAUACGAUCAUUAUGGGCAGCAUUUGAACCAAACGGCAGUACAGAACAUGCUGACAUCACCCACGCAUCUCUGUGACAACAGACGGAAACCCCCUUGAGCUGACAAAGAGAGAGCGGGAAAAGAGCGAUGCCUCCUCGUCACACGGGCCGUAUGCACAAACACACACACACAACAUAGCAUGUGUUCAGCAGUUCAGUAUUCACUCUGCAUUUUGAUUUGAACUUGACAGGCUUUCUGAAGCUCCAUUCUAAAUCAGAGAGCAGCAAUGAGAACACUCAACUCUCAGAAUAAGGAGGAAAGGAGAGGGCACAGGGAGGAAAAAAAACACAAUAAGAAAACAAAUACAAGGAUUAAAAACAACAACAACAACAAUCUGUCAUCCCUGAGAGAGAAAAGGAUUAUCCAGAAAUUUUAAAUUUUGAAUGCAGAAAUAACAAUCUGUAAAUGUAUAUAAUAUUUUUAAAUUGUUAUAUUCAUAUUUUAUUAAUCAUCAUUUUAAGUCCUCAC